ensembl:lincRNA
GGCAAACUGGCCAUUAAAGACAAUUGGUAGGGUUGCAACUUCAUAAGAGAUUGGAAUGUUGUCUAAAGCAACAGAAUGCAAUGCAAUAACAAUCUCAGAAUCUUCCUUUUUCUACCACUUUUGUGAAGAAACAUGAGGAAAAUAUAUUAUACUCGAUUACAAAAUUAGGUCACUUGAGUUAGCACUUCAUGGCUACAUAUAUUUCUACAUACAAGUGCAAAAUGAUGAAAAACAUUGAGACCAUGAAAACACAAGAAGCAGCCACAAAAGCCUCAGCUCCUUCUACUUUCAGAAAUCCUGAGUUGAACUGAAUAUCUGCGGGAGACAGUUGAAGAUGAGUCACUCUGACCUCUGUACCUAAAAAUGUAGACAUUAAGUCCUUACCCAUGCAGAAUGUCCUUCCUGAAAUCUGAUAUAAUAAAAUUUAUCUUUAUUUUCUACUCUAUGG